rnacentral:rRNA from 1 species
CGCAAGCCUGACGGAGCAAGACCGCGUGGGGGAUGACGGCCUAAUGGUUGUAAACCCCUUUUCUCUGGGAAGAAGACUGACAGUACCAGAGGAAUCAGCCUCGGCUAACUCCGUGCCAGCAGCCGCGGUAAUACGGAGGAGGCAAGCGUUAUCCGGAAUUAUUGGGCGUAAAGCGUCCAUAGGUGGUUAUUCAAGUCUGCUGUCAAAGCGUGGGGCUUAACUCCAUAGAGGCAGUGGAAACUGGUUGACUAGAGUGCGGUAGGGGUCGAGGGAAUUCCCAGUGUAGCGGUGAAAUGCGUAGAUAUUGGGAAGAACACCAGUGGCGAAAGCGCUCGACUGGGCCUGCACUGACACUGAGGGACGAAAGCUAGGGGAGCG